UGAAACGCAGCCUGACGUGAUCAUUGACAGCUGCCUUGAAGGACACAAAUAAAAAAUGAUUUCUGCUACUAAGAUCAGUGAAAUGUAGGCUAAACUGACAACGGAGUGAAGAGCAGAAAUUUCAACUAGCAGUGCAGGGCUUGGGAUCCCGGGAUCGCAGGCAGUUGGAUCAGGAGGGCCAAGAGGUUGUAAAUGAGGGGGUCCGCAUACCGGGACUAGAUGUACCCCAACAGUCCGAUGACAACAGGAUGGUGGACAUGCACAUCAUUGACGAUGAGGACUUCACCCCCCAGAGCCAACUGUGUUGGAGGAGGCAGAGCAGGAGCAGCAGAUGUAUCUGGAGAAGCAGAGGAAGCUCAAACAGAAGCAGCUGUUCAAAGACUCGGGAAAAGAUGUGAACAUUCUGUUCAUAACUGUUCCUCUCUUUACUUACAAUGCUAGAAUAUAACUGUGGCCAAAGAUCCUAUCCAGUGCAAGGAUCUCUUCUUUGACAACUGAAAACAGCAAUAUUGUGUGGAUUACUAUAAAACAUGUGAUAUUCAAUCACUAAUAAAUGUUAAAUGGUUAAAAAAUUGUUCUCACUCUCUUGCAGAGCAGGUAGAUUUACAUUGUUCAUUGUUCGAUUAUAUCAAUUACAUAGAUUUUCAGGUCCACUGUAGACCUACAGGAAAAUACACAGACA
rnacentral:lncRNA from 1 species